GAUGAACGCUAGCGACAGGCCUAACACAUGCAAGUCGAGGGGCAGCACAUGAGUAGCAAUACGAUGGUGGCGACCGGCGCACGGGUGAGUAACACGUAUGCAACCUACCGGUAAAAGGGGGAUAGCCUCUCGAAAGAGAGAUUAAUACCGCAUAAUAUCAUGAUAAGGCAUCUUAUUAUGAUUAAACAUUUAUGGUUUACCGAUGGGCAUGCGUAUGAUUAGCUAGUAGGUGAGGUAACGGCUCACCUAGGCAACGAUCACUAGGGGUUCUGAGAGGAAGGUCCCCCACACUGGUACUGAGACACGGACCAGACUCCUACGGGAGGCAGCAGUGAGGAAUAUUGGUCAAUGGGCGAGAGCCUGAACCAGCCAAGUCGCGUGAAGGAUGAAGGUUCUAUGGAUUGUAAACUUCUUUUGUAAGGGAAUAAAAAGUAGUACGUGUACUAUAUUGUAUGUACUUUACGAAUAAGGAUCGGCUAACUCCGUGCCAGCAGCCGCGGUAAGAC
rnacentral:rRNA from 1 species